rnacentral:rRNA from 1 species
AUACGGAGGGUCCAAGCGUUAUCCGGAAUCAUUGGGUUUAAAGGGUCCGUAGGCGGGCAAUUAAGUCAGGGGUGAAAUCCCACAGCUCAACUGUGGAACUGCCUUUGAUACUGGUUGUCUUGAAUUAUAGUGAAGUAGAUAGAAUAUGUAGUGUAGCGGUGAAAUGCAUAGAUAUUACAUAGAAUACCGAUUGCGAAGGCAGUCUACUAACUAUAUAUUGACGCUGAUGGACGAAAGCGUGGGGAGCGAACAGGAUUAGAUACCCCAGUAGUCC